rnacentral:tRNA from 3 species
GCACUGAUGGUGUAAUGGUAACAUCGAAGCUUCCCAUGAAAGUGGCUUGGUCCCCGAUCAGGAUAAUGCUUUGGCCCCGGAUUCGAUUUCCGGUCAGUGCA